rnacentral:lncRNA from 1 species
CAAAAUGCACUUCAUGUUGCCUUAUUGAACGAUCACGAAAUGUUUGUCCAUGCCUUCCUUGGGUCUGGAAUUUGUGAUAGCCUUGUUGAUGAGGCAGAUAAUGAGGGCAAUACUCCACUCCAUUUGCUUGCUGCCUCUGGGAACCGUGUGCCUCAAAUGAUAUUAGACCAUCCUAGCGCAAAGAAGAUGACAUUUAACAACAAAAUACAGACUCCACUUGACAUAGCAUUGUCUCGUACAUGGACAAUAAAGAAGGUACUCCCUCUUGUCCAUGACGGACUGGAUCGGUUUUCCCCAUUUCUUUGAACUUACUCAGUCCGUUGGUUUCCUUUUUUUUUGUUAAUCAACAAUGUAAAUAAGAUUAGCAAAAAUUAUAGAAUUAGAGGGGGACAUGGCAACCUAACCUCUAGACACAAAAAGAGAGCAUAGAGAGGAGUUAAUGCUCCAAAGAGAUCUUGUCUAAGACUAAGUUCUGGCACAUUGAAUUGCUAUAGAAGUAAUCAGUAGCUUUAGCCUAAACAUACUGGCAUCUACAACAGUAAGAGAAUCAUGGGGGCUCGUAGCGCUAAGAAGAGUGUUUUUUUGCUUGUUUUCGAGAGGACGGGAGCUGGAUCUUAUCAAUUCAAAUGGGGACAAUAGCCUCCUUAGCAAGGUCUUCUUUAUGUAGGAAAAUUUUAUCGGGUGGUGGCAUGCUUCGCAAGAGCAUCUGCGACUCAGCAUGCUUUGUCACGAUUCCUUUAUUUCUGUUAUUGAACUGCUUUGAUCUGUUUUUCAUCGAGCCAAGGGUCUACCGGAAACAACUUCUCUACCUCCGGGGUAGGGAUUAUAAGGUCUGCAUACACCGACCUCCGGAGUAGGGAUUACACUGAAUAUAUUCUUGUUGUUGGUAAAGAUAAAAACUAGAGUAACAAUGAAUUAAAUAAGAAAAAAAAAAAAUUUCCUUCUUUGAUAGUAGAAAAAAAAGUUCAAGUGUUUAAAUAAGAAAACACUUUUAUUUUUUCUAAGAAGGACCUCCUCACACUGUCGUCGCUUACUCAACUCUCGGGCUCUGGCAACAAUGGCAUCCCUGCAUCAUCUCAUGAUAUAGUAAUAUACUAAACAACUUUUGUUGGUUCGUUUUCUUUUCUUACAUUUGCCUCUUCUGUGAAUGACAAAACUCUUUCUAUUAAUUUUAUUUUUUAAUUGGAUGCGUAAAAAACUUGUGAAAAGAUAUGAGUUCCCACACAUGAUAAACCAUCUCUUGAAGGCAAAAUUGGUCGAUUUUCCCCUUGUUUGUGAGAUAUACAUGAGACCUAAUUCAAAUUCAGAUACACUAUAAAUGCGUACCAUAUCCUUGUAAACUUUUUAAUUGUCGUAAUUCCCAAUUAAUUUUUCUUUGCGCGUUUUUAUUCCAGGUCUAUAUAAGCACACCUCUAGUGAAUAAGAUACAUAUAAAAAAUUCUCCUUUUUAUGCAUAUUCCCUAAUUUUCAUUAACAGGCGUAGGGAGAAAUUAGUUAAAACGAUUACAUCAUAGUCAGAUCAAAAUUACGACAACACUGUGUUCAAUAUCAAUAUUGUUGAAUUUUUCUAAUAUAAUAGUUCAAAUCAAUCUAUAAAAGUUUGAGAUCACCAAGUAGUCAAAAUUUACUCUUUUUUAUGUUGUUGACGGAUGUCGCAUUAAAUUUUAUAGUUUAAAUUCAGUUAAAUAGAGAUAAAAAUAGUAAAAGUAAUACUAAAAUAAUAGUACUAAAUUAUGUUGGAACUGCUAUGAUUUGAAGAUCAAUUUAAGAUUCAAAAGUUUAUGAGCUUUACAUAAAUUUCAAGUUAGUAUCACAAUAAUAAUUGAUUUCUUAAUUAAAUAUUUAUAAAUAUUUAAUUUAUAUAUUUGGACAAAAAAUAUUAAAUUUAUAUGAAAUCGUAACUAAGCUUCCAUAUCCUCCCCAAAUUACUAUAUAACUUAUUUCAUCUAGGAGAUGAAAUUAAAUAAUACCAAGUUGGAUGAUUAAGAUGGAAUAUUUAGGAUCAAAGUUGAGAUUAAAUGUAUACCUUCAAUCAAAAAAUAUAAUUUUAAUCAUGAGAUAUCUUAAGAUAAUUAGAUCCAAAGUAUAUUGAAUUAUUGAUGAGUGUAGUUCAUUUUUAUUAAUAUUUUUUACUUAUAUAUAUAGAGACAAUAUAACUUUUUGUUGUCAUCAUUAGAUAUUAUAACUUGUAGCAGGAUACUUUUUUUUAAGAAGUAAUAUCAAACUUUUUUGGAAGGAGUGGAGAGGGGGCGAGGUCUGAAUUUUUUUAAAGUAUUUAUAAAUAAAAUUGAAAAAAUCGAAGGACGGGUGAUUAUCGGGGGAGGGGGUGGGUAGGAGAUGGUGGAGUGGAUUGAUAAUAUUUAUNNNNNNNNNNNNNNNNNNNNNNNNNNNUAUAUAUAUAUAUAUAUAUAUAUAUAUAUAUAUAUUUGGAAUAGUUAUACUAUAUAAUUUAGUUUUUAACUAAUAUUGAUAGUUUAUUUAUUUUUUAUCAAAGUGAAAUGCUAUGUCUAUGUGGUAAAAUUUUGCAAACGGAAAAGGGUCAAAAAUAUCCUUAAACUAUCUGAAAUAGCUCAUAUUUACCCUUAAACUAUAUUUCGGCUCAAAACUACCCUUCCCGUGAAACUAUUGGGUCAAAAGUACCCUUCUUAUUAACGGAAGUUGUUAAAUGCCAUGUGAAUGCCACAUUGCAUGCCAAUACUAAUUACUUUUUUUUUCCACGGCCACAUAGACUAAAUCCCUAAAUCCUAAUUACUCUUUUUUUUUUCCCUCAUUUCAUUAUUUUCCAGAAACAAUUUCAUCCAUUCUCCCUCAUAUUCUCCCCAAAUUACUAUAUAAUUUAUUUCAUCUAGGAGAUGAAAUUAAAUAAUACCAAGUUGGAUGACUAAGAUGGAAUAUUUAGGAUCAAAAUUGAGAUUAAAUUUAUACCUUCAACCAAAAAAUAUAAUUUAAAUUAUGAGACAUCUUAACAAAUGAUCUUUAAAAGUACCAAAACGUCAGAUAAUUAGAUUCAAAGUAUAUUGAAUUAUUGAUGAGUAUAGUUCAUUUUUAUUAUAUUUUUUACUUAUAUAUAUAGACAAUAUAACUUUUUGUUGUCAUCAUUGGAUAUUAUAACUUGUAGCAGUAUACUUUUUAUUUUUUUUGGUUUUGCUAUUUUUAUUACUAAUGAACUUAAAACUUAACUUGUAGCAGGAUUACUUUUUAUUUUUUUGGGUUUUGCUAUUUUUAUUACUAAUGAACUUAAAACUUAACUUGUAGCAGGAUACUUUUUAUUUUUUUGGGUUUUGCUAUUUUUAUUACUAAUGAACUUAAAACUUAACUUGUAGCAGGAUUACUUUUUAUUUUUUUGGGUUUUGCUAUUUUUAUUACUAAUGAACUUAAAACUUACAUCGGUAAGUUGUAUCUCAAUCUGCACAGCUCCUGGUACAUCGGAAGAAGCCAGAAACAGAGGAUGAUCAUGAUCGAUCUUUUUCGACAUUGAUCAGGAAUUUUAAGCUACAAAAACAGAAAUUAGAAUGACAAUUCUCAACCCGUAAGCUCUGAUACCAUGUUACAAACUGAAUUCUAAUCACUCAAUCAUAAUUGAAUCACAGUAGAAGAAUAGAUCUCAAUUUCAUAUCAACGCCUCAAAGAUUUACAUAGUUUUACACUGUAUAUUUUCUAACUAACUCCAGAUGGAUCAUAUUAUAUAUAUACAUGUACUAAUUGACUUAUUUACAGUAAAGUCAUCUUCUAGAAUAUUCUUAACAGCCUAACUAACUUUCACGUCAAGUUAACUGACUAAUAAUAGACUAAUAACAAUCUUCAGUCAGCUGUUUGCAAUCUCUUUGUUAUAAUCUCUAAUAUAUUUCAACAAAACCCAAUGUUUGAUUUCUUUAGGACUCAAUAAAGGUAGCCAUGUGUUUGUCCAAAAAAGUGUACCAUGAGUCUACUUACUUACACUUUGUUUGGAUGAUUGUAACAUAUUGUUUCAUAAUAUAUCAUACUGUAUUGUUGUAAUUAAUACAUUGUUCCCUUUCACCCUCCUCUGCAUCAUCUCAUGGUUGUCUCUCUUGUUUUACUUAAACUGAUCUACCAUUCUUGCUGUGUCUAAGUAGAGCAUGAUGUUCAUAACUUAAACUCCUUUAAUGCAAAUUUUCAAUCACAAGCGUAGGGAGCAAUUAGUUAAAUCGAUUAAAAUUACUUUCAAUAAACUGACUUGCCACAGCAUUGCAUUCAGUAUCAAUAUUGAUUAUAGUCGGAAAAUACCCUACUUCAUUUUUAUCACAAGGACAAGUAAAUUUUGGAGAGUGAGUUAUCUAUAAUGACGAAUCGUUGACCGAUUUUUUGAGGGUUCCAAAUGACUAUAUAGAUCAAAUCAAGUUAACAAUACUUGAAAUCUAUGUUAGAAAGGAGCCUAAGACUAGUCAACAAUGUUCUCUUUUAUCGGUCGAUGUCCAUCCAUAAUUAGAAAAUCGUAAUAGCGUUGAUGGAUUUUCAAUAACUCAAUCUACCAAUUUUUCUAAUAUCUAAUUUAUGCAAUUUGUAGGGUCGGAUUGUUGUGUUGUUCGGUUGUGCUACUCCAAUCUUUCAAGAUUUUGAUUUUUUAGUGUGGGGUCGCUUUAGUUGUCGGAUUGGGACCAUCAAAUUAACAUCUUCGAAGUGAAAAAACGUUUGGAAGAUGAAAGUGAACCAUGAAAGUGAAAGGGGAGACAAAGAAAGUGAAAAGGUAAAGUAACUUUUCUUAAAGUGUAAAAUUUUCUUCCACUUUAUAAAGUGUAAGAAAAACUUCCACUUUACAAAGUGUAAUAAAUAAUUUCGUUUUACAAGGUGUAAAAAAUAGUUCCGUUAUAUAUUAAAAUAUACACGUUAUGAGACUAACGGAAAACAUUUGGAAUAUUGCAUAAAACGGAUUUUUUUCUUCCACUAACCCUAUUUUAGUUAGUUACUAGAAUAAUGACUUAUUUUGGUCACUUUUAUCUUUUUGUUGCUUAUUUAGGUUCCAAACUCCAAAUCUUGUCCUGCAUUUUCCAACAAGCUAUUUUCAUGUCUCGAACCAAUAUAUAAAAUAAAUCCAAUUGAAGAAACAAUGAAAUAUACAAAAAGAGUUCACUGCUUGAAUAGUUAACAAAGUUAUUUAAAAUAAAUGAACAAAGUCUUUUUCCCUCCUUUUUUUUUGGUAGGGCCGCACCAAUGCAGUAUGAUAUAAGUUCAACCAUUUGGGUCGGGUUUCGGCGGGCACCCCUCCAAAUUGCAAUGGUAGUUACCAACGUAAACCAUGACCCUUAUUGAACCCCCAUUGACUUAGUUCAGUAAAUGCAAUAGAAGUCACCAACCUAGGAUAUUUUUUAAUAAUAUAAUAUAUCACUUAUCUUUUAUUCAUUUUUUUAAAAAGGGCAUUAAAGGAGGAAAUUGAUAUGUUCAGCCACUUUACCUUAUUUUUUAAGCCAAAAAUAAAAAAUAUUAAACUCAAUUCAUUUCAACCAAAAAUCACCUGCCCCGCUCACUACUUGUUCUCUUCUUAAUUAUUUCCAACAUGAUUUUUUGAUACUAUAUUUGAUUUACAUGUUUGAUUUUUUAUAUGCUUUACUUGAGCCAAAGUCCGAGGGUCUAUAAAAACAUCCUCUCUUCAUUCAUAAAAUAGGAGUAAGACUACGUAUGCACCAUAUCAAACUCCACUUGUAAAGGGAGUAGUAUACAUUGGUAUUGUAUUCCCAAUCUCUGAUGAACCAGAGCAAACCAAGAAGAAACUCUUAAAAGCUCUUGCCUUUUGGGCUCAUUGACCCAAUAAACAUACUUUGUAGUCAUGCCCAAGUAGCCACCAAAUACUUGGCCCAAAUAUAUAUAUUAAAUUAUGGUAGAUUAUAUGAUUUAGUAUAAAUAUAUUGAGAGCAAAAUAAGUACAACUUUUUUGUAUGUUCAAGAUUAUUUAGUGAAUUUGUGUUGAACUUGAAAAAAUCUAGAAUGGUAGUUAUUCUCCAAAAUAUGAUUGUUUAUUUUGAGAACUUCUACUAUUCAUGUUUAAGAAAUCAAACUAUUCAAGACUUUCCUUUUCCCCCAAAUUAUACCUACUAAAAUAAAAGGUCAAAAUGUCAAGAUUAGACCUGAAAGAUACAUUGAAAUAGUGUAAAACUUAGGUUCAAUCAAAAAUUAGAUGUUCAUAAUCAUAUCGACCUAUAUUAACAAGUCUUCUUCAUUUAUGGACUUCAUUUGUCAGAUAACCUACCUAUUUGUUUGCUUCUCUCUGAAUAUGGAUGAUAUUCAUCUUGGUGGCAUCAAGUAAAUACUUGCAAUCUCUUAUGACGUCCUUUCUUUUAUGCGGAAAUAAUCUCUUCUGACCAAUUACAAUUUGGAUAGAAAAAAAUGACCGCAUUUAGAUAUUUUAUAUAUAGAAAAUAAAGAUCCAUCACAAAAGAAACAUAAAACUAAAAACAAAUUUUGGACUAUUUUCUUUGUCCUUUUUUAUUGCUUAAUAUUUUACUUCCUCUCUGUCUCACUCCAUUUAUCUAUCAUCAUAAUCCAAUUGUUGUUACUUGUUAUCCUUGAGACUUGAAGUGGGUCCAUCCUAUCAAUUUCCUAGCCAAUAAUAAUAUGCCACGUGUAUGAACAUGUGAUAAUUAAGGCAACAUCAAAAUUCCCUAAUUGAGUCAUAAAGUGUGAGAAUGCCAUAAGAAAUUAUUGUAUUAUGUUAUGUUCUUACCAACUAAGGAAUCAAAGAAUCUUUGUUGGGUUUUAGCGUUGUAGAGAAACAAGAAGAAGAAAAAAACACCUAUAAGGGUUAAACUGGUCUUUUAGAUUUUAUCAAUCAAAGAAAAAAAAGGUAUGUUGAAGAGCUACCUAAUCAAAUCUUUCUUUAGUUUUACUGUUUUCUCAUGUUGGGUUUUACCUAAAUACUCAUUUUUUCCAUCUGGGGUUUACUUUUUGUGAAUGAAUAUGAGUUAAAGAUGGGAUUUUUAGUACAUAGUGUUGAAAAAAGAUUGUGUUUUUAUCUUGGAGUGAGAAAAUGUGUAUUUAACUUUGUUGAGUACUAUUUCCUCUUUUCUAAUUUCUUUGUGUUACUUUAAUUUGUUCCAGUUUAAGAAAAUAAGCAAGACUUUUGAAUCUUGUGUUAUUAAUGUUGUAGAACGUAUGAAAAUGUCAUUUAAUUUCUCUUACUUGAAAAAAAAGCUGAGGUUUUUUCCCCUUUGAAAUUUCAGUUUGAGUCAUUGGUUGGUAACUGGACUCUUAAUUUAGAUUGUUGAUCUUAUUUUUGGAUGUUAUGCAUAAUUUCUUUUGGUACAUUGGAAAGAAAAAUAGACUACAUAAAAAAAAAAUUAAAGUUGUUCAUUAGCAAUAUGCUUAAGUUCGCUAGGAGAAGAAACUUUAUGUUCUUAAUAGUAUUACAGGGCCUCUUCAUGAUUGUGAUUCUCCAUAAACAAGUAGUCUCUGGAUAUACAUAUUAAUGAGUAUAUAAAGUGACACUUGAACUUGUUUCGAAUUUUCAAAAAGAUAUCUUAAUUAUGCGAGCGUCCUAUUACCCAUUAAACAAUCUUGAACUGAUAUUAUUACAUUGUCCACUUCACAUAGAGAGCGUGUGAACUCUCUCAAAGAGGGUGAGCAAUCUAAAAUAACUAAUAUAAUUUUAUUUUUACAAGUAUUUUAUUAUAAAAUAUGUUGAACUGAUAUUAUUACAUUGUCCACUUCACAUAGAGAGCGUGUACACUCUCUCAAAGAGAGUGAGCAAUCUAAAAUAACUAAUAUAAUUUUAUUUUUACAAGUAUUUUAUUAUAAAAUAUGUUUUCUUAUUUUUCUUAUUAUUUUAACUUUUUUUCCUUUUUAUUUUUUCUCUUUCUUUCUUCUUUCUUCUUCAAAAAUUCAUUGUCAUUUUUAUUGAAGCUUCUCACUUUCAAUGUCACCAUUUUUACCACAACUUCACCUUUCUUUUGUUUUUUACUACUAUUAGUUUUACUCUCUUUAAUUUUAAAACUUUAUCUAAAUAUUUUCUUACAUUUCGAACAAUUUGAUAAACCCAUUAAAUUUCAAGAUGAUUAGGAAAUAUCAUAUAAUUUUUUUUAUCCGAUUCCAAUUAAGUUCUUUCAAUUUUCGGAAAAUUCAUUGAUUCUUUUAAAAUUAUAAUUUAUAAUUUGAAGUUAUAUGAAAAGGAGUAAUUGAUGAUACCUUCAAAAUUUUAAAUUUUCUUAGAAAAAUAAUUAGUUUUGUUAUCAAUAAUUCAAUAAAGUCUAGAAAAUAGUAUGAUUUUAAAAAUCACUGAAAUAAAGAAUUUGACUGAAGAAGAAGAAAAAAAAAUAAAAAAUGAAAGAGGGUUCAACUUGACGUGGGGGGUGGGGUGACGGUGAGAGAUGAAGAAAAAGAAAGAAAAUGAAAUUUAAGAUGAAAUCAAAAUUAAAAUAAGUCAAAAGUAAGAAAGAGAGAAAAGGUAAAGAAAAAACUUAAAAUGAAAAAAAUAUAUUUUUAAUUAAAUUAACACGUGUCAUGUAAUGAUUGGUGUGUGAACACACUUGCUUCUUAAAAUCUGAGGCUGAUCGAAAAAUAAUAUAAUAAUAUCUGUUCAAAAUUGUUUAGUAGGGUAAUAAGACGGUUGCAAAGUUAAGAUAUCGUUUUGAAAAUUCGGGACAAGUUAAAUAGUGAAUUUAUGUCUUUUCUCUUUUAAAAAAUUACAUAAAUGCAAUAUAACAAUGCUUUUGACUUAACUAGAUACUUCAUUUGUCUCACAUAAAAGAAACAAGGAACUUUUGUGACACCUUGGAUAUCCACACAUAAUGGAUCCAAGAAUGUACAAUGCUGCAAAGAAAGGGAGUACUAUGGAAGAUGGUGAUUUUUCACUUGUUGAUUAUCUGAAAAGGGAGGAAGAAAAUGGUUACCAAGUCACUCCAAAGGGAAUACAAUCCUCCAUGUGGCAGCUCUCUUUGGCCAACGAGGUUUCGUGGGAAAAGUCCUUAAGAUUACCCCGGUAUUAUUAUGCUAUAAGAAUAAGAAAAAUGAAACUGCGCUUCACAUUGCAGCUAAUUUAGGACAAAGUGAAGUGGUGAGUGAACUACUUAGCUUAGGAGGAGAGGAGACAAUACUCGUUAGGAUGACGGAUGACAUUGGAGAUACGGCCUUGCACAAGGCUGUGAGAGGUGGACACAUUGACAUUGUCAGGAUGUUGGUGAAAUUAUUACUAGAUCCUGAACACGACCUCCCGGCCAAUAAGGCUGGGGAGACACCACUUUAUUUGGCAGCAGAGUCUGGUUUUCAUGAUGCUUUGAUUGAAAUCUUGAACGUUUGCAAAGAACCAACUUAUGUUGCAGGUCCAUCCAAUCGAACACCUCUACAUGCAGCCGUAAUUCAAGAACACACGGGUAAGUACCUUCUGGAUGAUUUCAUCAUAUAUAAUAUGGAAAAUGAGUAAAUUUGUCCCUCUACUAAUAGAAAGAAGCUAUAUUUGUCUCUAAAUAUACUCCUACAGGCAUACUUUAUGAUCUUGUUAAACGAAAAAAAUACAUUCAUUUAUCAUCAUAUAUCAUAUAUAUAUAUAUAUAUAAUAUUUGACUAAUAUAUCCAGAAUGCGCGAGAUCACUAUGGCAAUGGAAUAAACCUUUAUGUGAAGCAUCUGAUAAAUGGGGUUGGAAUUCUCUACACUAUGCUGUUAAACAAGGAUUGAAAGAAAUAGUUUCCGAUAUGUUGGGAUGGAAGAAAUCUUCAGCCUACCUUCCGGCAGGCAGUGAAAAUGACUGGACGACAACAUUUCACAUUGCUGCUAGUGAAGGUGAUAUAUUCAUGAUAAUUGAGUUAUUAAACCACUGCCCAGAUUGUUGGGAAAUGCUUAAUAGCAAUGGUCAAAAUGCACUUCAUGUUGCCUUAUUGAACGGUCACGAAAUGUUCGUCAUGGUGUUACUUGAGUGGGAAUUUUGUAAUAGCCUUGUUGAUGAGGCAGAUAAUGAGGGCAAUACUCCACUCCAUUUGCUUGCUGCCUCUGGGAACCGUGUGCCUCAAAUGAUAUUAUACCAUCCUAUCGCAAAGAAGAUGAUAUUUAACAAACAAAAUCAGACUCCACUUGACAUAGCAUUGUCUCGUACAUGGACAAUAAAGAAGGUACUCCCUCUUGUCCAUGACGGACUGGAUCGGUUUUCCCCAUUUCUUUGAACUGACUCAGUCCGUUGGUUUCCUUUUAUUUUUUUUUAUUUUUAAUCAACAAUGUAAAUAAGAUUAGCAAAAAUUAUAGAAUUAGAGG